rnacentral:rRNA from 2 species
GCGGAGGAAAAGAAACCAACAGGGAUUGCCCCAGUAACGGCGAGUGAAGCGGCAACAGCUCAAAUUUGAAAUCUGGCCCCUCCGGGUCCGAGUUGUAAUUUGUAGAGGAUGCUUUUGGUGAGGUGCCGCCCGAGUUCCCUGGAACGGGACGCCACAGAGGGUGAGAGCCCCGUCUGGCUGGCCACCGAGCCUCUGUAAAGCUCCUUCGACGAGUCGAGUAGUUUGGGAAUGCUGCUCAAAAUGGGAGGUAUAUGUCUUCUAAAGCUAAAUAUUGGCCAGAGACCGAUAGCGCACAAGUAGAGUGAUCGAAAGAUGAAAAGCACCUUGAAAAGAGGGUUAAACAGUACGUGAAAUUGUUGAAAGGGAAGCGCUUGUGACCAGACUUGGGCGCGGCGGAUCAUCCGGGGUUCUCUCCGGUGCACUUCGCCGCGUUCAGGCCAGCAUCAGUUCGUCGCGGGGGAAAAAGGCUUCGGGAACGUGGCUCCUCCGGGAGUGUUAUAGCCCGUUGCAUAAUACCCUGCGGUGGACUGAGGACCGCGCAUCUGCAAGGAUGCUGGCGUAAUGGUCACCAGCGACCCGUCUU